rnacentral:lncRNA from 1 species
GCGCCGCUGGCGGAGUGGGAGGGAGGCGGCCAGGCGAGCGCCCCGCCUUCGUCGCCCGCGGUCACAGGGGCAAUUACACUCCUCGCUGCAGACGGUUACCAGCUCGCCCGCGCAUCCCUCUCUCGGCUCCCCUCUCCUCCCCUCUCCUCUCCUCCCCUCCCCUCCUCCGCGGAACUGCUGGCUCCAUAUUAGCGAGGGUGCCCUGGCAGCGCGACCGAGGCCAACUACCCCUGGGGACCCUCCCGAGGCUCCCCGCACCCUGCACACCCUCAAGAUCGCCAAGGCGAGCCCACCGCACCCCACAGCGCGUCCCAAGGGCACCACAGCCGAGGAAGCGACUUUUGCGGUAGCGAAAGGGUGGCAGUACCCAGCUCCACGCGCUGCAAGACUCUAGCAGCCGCGCUUCACCCCAAAACUCUGCCCCUAGCCAGCACAGCUCCCCUAGCGCCCCAAAUCCCAGGUGUGCCUGUUUCCCUGGAGUCCCGCCGGCGUGCUUUGCUAUUCGCAGCUCGACGCCUAGACCUCCUGACUGCAACCUCCGAGGCCUUUGCGCUCCCAGGCGUCCUUUGCUGCAAGCAAACAGGCCCCCAACCGCCCCCUAUGGUUUGUACUCUUCUGGAAGGUGUCUUUGGCGCUGUGAAUGCAAACUCAGGCUUUGGAUUAAGGGCUUCAUUUUCAACUAACUGUGUGAUUUGAGGCCAGUUUCUUAACCUCAGUUUCUUUAUCUACAAAAUGGGAGGGAUAUUCGUAUAAGUGUGGCUACGAGGUUUAAAGAAGAUAUAGUUAUAUGUCAAAUGCUUAGCACAAAGUCCUGGUGGUUAGCAUUAUUAUUACCAUAUGGCCAGAACUGUGAGGACAUUAAAAGUGAAGUAGGCUUUUUCCCACCAGGGGUAAGCCUCGCGGAGUCCUAGGACACAUCCCACAAACCGAGGUGAACCUAAGCCACCGGCUACGUCUGAAGGGAGGACAGACGAGACGAGGGGCAGCCAACUGAGCGAAUCACUCUGCCUUCCGCCUUUGCAAAUGAAUAGGGCUCUGUCUACAGCUUCCGCCAUUCCUACGCCAGAUCUGCAACGCCUAAGGCUUAAACUUGGCGCGGCGGUAAAUUUAGCCCGAAGGCAGCGGCUCCUAAGGGGCGGGGAUGUCUCCUUGGAAGAAGGAAAGGGAACAGGGUAAGAAAAUGGAGUUGCCUCUAGGAAGAAGAAUCAGGCAGAGGAAACAUUCAGGGCCGCUGGCGGACCACUGACAAAAAGAAAUCGGACGCAAAAGAAACCUCCCCAGAAGAAACUGGGCCACCGUGGGAGCCGUGCGAGACAGACUUCCCAUCUGGGAAGGGCUGCCUACGGGGGCUGCAAACCUACGCCGGCUCUGCUGAACUCUUCGAAAUAUAUAUGCAUAAAUUGUUCCUAAUGAGACCAUCUGUUUUUUAUGGCCCCUCUGGAAGCAGGAGGAACCCGAAGCCUGCUCCGUCUUGCAGAAAUCUGUGGCCAGGCAGGCCUGGGAAAUAAAUAGGGGAGAUUAGAACGGUGUGCGUGAUUUAACAAUACGCAGAACGGCAAGUUCGGUGGUCGAGAUGUGUGCCUCGAUUCCCAGGGGUGCGGGUCAUUUAGGGUGACUCCAGACAUGGGGGUUCCUCCUAGGAGGCCCAGGGACUUUGCGGAGUUCCACGGCACACACGAACCUCGUUUUUCCAUAUCUGGAACAUCGCCAGAGCCACAACGCGAAACCACGAGCCUGUAGCUGCUCUGGGGACCCAAAACAAGCACCCAGGUUGUAGGUGGUCCCCGACGUCGCCCACUAUCUAGGGCCUCCUUCUACGGUGGUGAAGGGAGCUGAACCUGGGCCACAGAGGCAGAGAACGAGCAUCACUCCACCCCAUACCCGGGUCAGAGCACAGAGCUCAUUCCGGGCCUAUCCCAAAGACUGAGCUGCUCCGCGAGCGUCUGGCAGGCCCAGCGCCCCGGCCUGAGACCGCACUGAGGGUGGCAGGGCAAACACUUUUCACAUUACCGCGUGGCUGUUAAUUGGGGCAGUGCAAAAGACGCCGCGACUACCCCUUUGCGGCGGCGGGGGAGGGGGGAGCGGGUCAGGAGUGGGCAGUGGGGGCUGCUUAUAAUAGAAGGACUGCCCUGGGGAGCCUCAGAUAUCGGUAACCCCCAUGAUUAAUUCAUAACUCUCCACUGCGCCUGGCACCGUCUCGGGUCUUUAAUCGGUUCUGAAUGUCAGCGAGGCUUCCCCGACAGCCUGAGCACUGCUUUUUCAAUGUGUUGAAAGUCGCUGCGCGCACACCAGGAGACAAAGUUGCCAUCUGCUCCGGGGACCAAGGCAACUGGGCGCUGGGAGGGGCCUUCCUCCCGCGGCUCCCGCUGCCCCGGGCGGCCUCCUCUUCCCGGCCUGCCCCAAAGCCAACACUGUCACCCGGAACGUCCCCGCCCCCCGCCCCGGGUGCAUGCAUGGUGGAAACUCCGGCUUGCAGCGAAACAGAGCGCUGCGCGCGGGCGCGCAGGGAGCCUCGCGGUCACCCAGACCGAGACCUAUGCUAAUGAGAUUAUAGGCCCGGGUUGUUUGUGUGCGCGGACGUCAAAGGGGGGGCGCAGAUAAAGUGUGGAAACCGGGAUGACUUGGAGGGGGGAGGGGCAGGAAGCCCCAGGAGAACAAAGCUCCUGGCCGUCGGCCUCCAAAGAGUCGCAGAAGUGACCGCCACUGGCUCGUGCACAGGCGGAAGCGGGGGAGGGCGGGGGACGCCAGGCCUAAAGCGCCUCGUGGGUUUAGAGAACUCAGAGAGGGCACCGGGUGGGGGUGGGAAGAAGACUCAACCCGUAGCUAAAUGUUUGGCCUUUGGCUAUUUUUUAAGGAAACGAAUCUCAGGGAGGUCGGGGCGCGGGGGAUGGGGGCAUCAUCGCGCCUCGGAGAUGGGAAGCGAGUUCCCCUCCGCUUUCUGGGAAAAGCCUUGUCUCCCUUCUUUCCCCUCCCCCCAUCCUGCUGAGGGUUUGCGUUGACCCAUCUCUCCGCUCGGGACCGGCAGGAGGACGGAGCCGCAGGGGCUGACCGCGGCCCAGAGGCUGCCCAGGGGUCGCGCUGCUGCCGGCCUGCGCUUCCGCACUCCCGGGUUCGGUGCGUCGCCUCUCGCGGCAGCGCCUCGCUUCUUCCAGACUGUAAUUCCACACUCCCGCAAGCGCUGGGGCUGCGGAAUCGUUUGAGGGAGUUGGAACUGCAUCAGAUGAGCACGCCGGGAGACACGAAAAUUGGACACGUGGAGAAUUAGCCCUGCUGGAGAAGCGCUGGGUGCAGACUCAAACAAUGGUUUCCAGCGCCGAAGCUGAGGCAUCACCUUCCCCACCUCCACCCUCAAAUGGCAGCUGCCUCUAUAUACAGCGGGCACACCCCUUCACUACCCACCCCCUCCCCCAAAGCCUGGUUAGGGACCUAUGUGGGCUGCACGCUCUGGAGCCCCUUGCCCGGACACAAACCCUAGGUGGGCCUGGGCUGCCCGCUGAGUAGCUCAUUGCGCCUGGGAUCCCCUGGGAUUUAGAAGUAUAGGGCUCUCUAUUUUUCCCUAGGAAGGUCCUGUCUCAAAGAUGCCACCCCCAAAAAUUAAUGUGUAAAAACCCAACCAAGCUCCAGUCUCUGUGUCCUUUGGCAAAUCUAUCUUUCCUAGGGCAUACUUUCCUAAGCUGCUGGGACCUUGCCCCCCAUCUGAUGAGCCAUACGCAGGUGGUCUGGCCUCUUCAGAGCAGCUUCCUUUAGUUAUUGUCUUCUCCAGAGGCCCCAUCCUCCACGGCAGCCCUAAUCUUAGCCCCCCAGCCUCUCUGAGCCCCCAUCCCACCCCCACACUGCGCUGAGCUGGCAGCAGCCACAGCUCCCCCAGGCAGUUCCUCUCUCACUGCGCGGCCUGUGCAUCUCGCUGGGGCACACACUCCGCACAGAAGCUCCCUCGCCUCCUGGAGCUGGUUUCCUCUUACAGGCUCCCCUUAGAGCUGCUGGUGCUGUGACAACGCCUGCAUCUCUGUGUCUCCCUGCAGCGCUGCGAGCUGUGAAUCUGCCUUCUCUUCCCUUCCUGCAAAGGUCAAGCUGCCUCCUUCUCUCGCAGGGCCGCAGUUCAGUUCUGGCCUGCAGAGCUUCUACACUGCAACUUGAAUAUGGGAAUGGGGUGGGCAUCGUGCAAGGGAGCAGUCACACUCAAGCCAGGAGGCAGGGACAAAAGGGUGUGCGAUUCAGGGAGGGAAACACUGAGGACAACCCUCAGAAAGCAGUGCAGGAUUUGCAGCUAAAGACUCAAAAGAGGGAGAGAAAACGAGGAAAAGGCUGUUACUAGGUCGUGAGUCCUGAAGUGUAGGCCUUUCUCCUCCCACCCCGUGGGUUGCCCUAGGGGAAGGCCAGAAGAGGCCUCAGGUGUCUGCACUGUGUCCUGUGCAGUUCCUAGGGCCAUGCACUUCCGGUGAGGCUGCACUUUACUCCAAGCAGGAGUCAGAAGCAUGGAAUUCAGUGGCCGCAGGAGCUCAAGUCGGCUGCAGCCCUUUCAAAGAGGGACCCCGAAGAGGCCUUUCUGCCACCCCAGCCCCAGAGAGGCUAUGAGGCUCUACAAGCAGCAGAGAGAAUGAUACGGAGAAAAAUGAGAGGAAACGCUAUUAAACUUGCUUCCUCUAAAGAGCGCUACCCACCGUUUUCUCUGAACUGUACCUAAAAAGUCAGGAGAGAACUCGUUAACUUUUGUUUGGUUUAACAUUGCCAGCUUCAAGUCAACCGUAGGCCCCCCGAAGGUUUUGUAAAAUAUUUAAUCUAGCUCAGACAAUUUCCUGCAGUCCCUAACCAGACCACCCCACUUACUGAGCCGCUGCCAAAAAGGAUGCUUGACUGCAGACUGGCAACCAGAGGCCUUCCAGUCGCCUGGCUGGCCUUGACCUCCACUCGAGGCGCCAGGAAAGACCCUUCCCGGAAUCCCGAGAGACCAAGACCUGGGUAAUCCUGGAGGUCUAAACCCGUGAGGAAGCCCAAGAAAUGGAGUUAAAGACCCUUUUCGCACAACCGAUUGUUGUCUGUGUGACCUUCUGCGGCCCUUGCCCUCUCUGAACCCUCUAAAAUGGGCAUGAGGAUGUCUCACCUUCCUCUGGGUGUUAUGCAUUUUGAAGCGUGGGCACUAUGGGAGAGGCUGACGCUCUGUGUUCCCCAGCGCCCUCCACUCCCACCCCUUCACUGUUUUCUUCGACAUUAUCUCCCUAGAGAACACAGCAAGCAGGAGCGGGAUCCUUCGACUCGGCUGACUCUCAACUCCUUCCAAACGUGAGGCUGACGGGGAGAACUCCUGCUCUGCCCAGUUUCCAUUCCCGCCUCCAGAAUAACGAGCCGAAAACAUGUGUACUGUAAAUAAAGCCUGUCUAAAUAAAGCACUCGGGUAAAGGCUACCGAGAAAACACUCCGCAUCGCUCUGUGCUCAGAGCGUGAGUCAGCUUCCCAGCCCCGGGGGAACAAUGGGGACCUUGCCAAGGGUCCCCUUCUGUCGACCCCUGACGGCCCCCAGGCCCGUUUGGGUGGCGGGAGUGCCGGCACCCUGGGACCUUCGGGCCCGAGGUUCGGGAGGGCUAAGGGCGCUCCAGGCGACCAGGGUUGGGGUCCAGCCCCAGGAUUAGCGCGGCCAGGAAUCCCUCU